AACACCCUGAUGUCAUCAUGGGUAAUUGUGAUACUGAUCUACAAAUAACUUGGUUAUUUUGACGCAGGGUGAUUUGUAGAUCAGUCAGUCUCUGAAGAUGACUACAAUGUCACGAGUCUCAAUCACCAACGUUAACAGUAGAGAUAUAGUGUUGUCAUGCAUAUAGUGGUGUGGUAAUCAGUGUCCUGUCCUUUCUGGAUCAUUAGUGGUGUGGUGAUCAGUGUCCUGUACCUUUCUGGAUCAUUAGUGGUGUAGUGUGGGAUCAGUGUCCUGUACCUUUCUGGAUCAUUAGUGGUGUGGUGAUCAGUGUCCUGUACCUUUCUGGAUCAUUAGUGGUGGUGGUAAUCAGAGUCCUGUACCUUUCUGU
rnacentral:lncRNA from 1 species